rnacentral:rRNA from 1 species
UACGUAUGGUGCAAGCGUUAUCCGGAUUUACUGGGUGUAAAGGGAGCGUAGGCGGCGCGUUAAGUCUGAUGUGAAAACCCGAGGCUCAACCACGGGAGUGCAUUGGAAACUGGCGGGCUGGAGUGCCGGAGAGGUAAGCGGAAUUCCUAGUGUAGCGGUGAAAUGCGUAGAUAUUAGGGGGAACACCAGUGGCGAAGGCGGCUUACUGGACGGCAACUGACGCUGAGGCUCGAAAGCGUGGGGAGCAAACAGG